GACGAACGCUGGCGGCGUGCCUAAUACAUGCAAGUCGAGCGAAUGGAAGGGAGCUUGCUCCCUGAAGUUAGCGGCGGACGGGUGAGUAACACGUGGGCAACCUGCCUGUAAGACUGGGAUAUCUUCGGGAGACCGGAGCUAAUACCGGAUACGUUCUUUCCUCGCAUGAGGAAAGAUGGAAAGAUGGUUUCGGCUAUCACUUCCAGAUGGGCCCGCGGCGCAUUAGCUAGUUGGUGGGGUAAUGGCCCACCAAGGCGACGAUGCGUAGCCGACCUGAGAGGGUGAUCGGCCACACGGGGACUGAGACACGGCCCAGACUCCUACGGGAGGCAGCAGUAGGGAAUCUUCCGCAAUGGACGAAAGUCUGACCGAGCAACGCCGCGUGAGCGAAGAAGGCCUUCGGGUCGUAAAGCUCUGUUGUCAGGGAAGAACAAGUGCCAGAGUAACUGCUGGCACCUUGACGGUACCUGACCAGAAAGCCACGGCUAACUACGUGCCAGCCGCCGCGGUAAGAC
rnacentral:rRNA from 1 species